rnacentral:rRNA from 1 species
UACAGAGGUCUCAAGCGUUGUUCGGAAUCAUUGGGCGUAAAGCGCACGUAGGCGGCUUGUUAAGUCGGAUGUGAAAGCCCUCGGCUCAACCGAGGAAGUGCAUACGAAACUGGCGAGCUUGAAUAUGGAAGAGGGUCGCGGAAUUCCCGGUGUAGAGGUGAAAUUCGUAGAUAUCGGGAGGAACACCAGUGGCGAAGGCGGCGACCUGGGCCAAUAUUGACGCUGAGGUGCGAAAGCGUGGGGAGCAAACAGG